CCUCAUUGUGUGUGUGUGUGUGUGUUUGUGCACGCAUCUUCAGGGCCUGUUCAGGAUUGCUGCCGGAGCCUCCAAGCUGAAGAAGCUGAAGGCAGCUCUGGACUGUUCCACCUCUCAGCUGGAGGAGUUCUACUCGGACCCCCACGCUGUCGCUGGAGCCUUGAAGUCCUACCUGAGAGAGCUGCCUGAACACUGAUGACCUACCAGCUGUAUGAGGAGUGGACCCAGGCCUCCAAUGUGUCAGACCCAGACAAGAGGCUCCAGGCUCUGUGGGUGGUGUGCGACCAGCUGCCAAAGAACAACAAGGCCAACCUGAGGUAUCUGGUGAAGUUCCUGGCAAGCUGGCCCAGGACAGCGAGGCCAACAAGAUGACCCCCAGCAACAUCGCUAUCGUCCUGGGGCCCAACCUGCUGUGGGCCAAGACCGAGGGCACUCUCGCUGAGAUGGCUGCUGCUACCUCCGUUCACGUGGUGACCAUCAUAGAACCCAUCAUCCAACAUGCUGAUUGGUUCUUCCU